UGAGGAAUAUUGGUCAAUGGGCGGGAGCCUGAACCAGCCAAGCCGCGUGAGGGAAGAAGGCCCUAUGGGUCGUAAACCUCUUUUGUCAGGGAACAAAAGCGAGUAUGUAUACUAGUCUGAGUGUACCUGAAGAAAAAGCAUCGGCUAACUCCGUGCCAGCAGCCGCGGUAAUACGGAGGAUGCGAGCGUUAUCCGGAUUUAUUGGGUUUAAAGGGUGCGUAGGCGGCGAUGCGAGUCAGCGGUAAAAGCCCGGGGCUCAACUCCGGCGAGCCGUUGAAACUGCAGUGCUAGAGAAGGCGAGAGGUACGCGGAAUGCGCAGUGUAGCGGUGAAAUGCUUAGAUAUUGCGCAGAACUCCGAUUGCGAAGGCAGCGUACUGGCGCCUGACUGACGCUGAGGCACGAAAGCGUGGGGAUCGAACAGGAUUAGAUACC
rnacentral:rRNA from 1 species